GUGUCAGCCGCCGCGGUAAUACGGGGGGAGCAAGCGUUGUUCGGAUUUACUGGGCGUAAAGGGCGCGUAGGCGGUCGUGACAAGUCACUUGUGAAAUCUCCGGGCUUAACUCGGAACGGUCAAGUGAUACUGUCGGACUAGAGUACAGAAGGGGCAACUGGAAUUCUCGGUGUAGCGGUGAAAUGCGUAGAUAUCGAGAGGAACACCUGCGGCGAAGGCGGGUUGCUGGGCUGAUACUGACGCUGAGGCGCGAAAGCCAGGGGAGCGAACGGGAUUAGAUACCCCGGUAGUCCUGGCCUUAAACGAUGAAUGCUUGGUGUCUCGGGUUAUAAAGUCCCGGGGUGCCGUCGCUAACGCUUUUAGCAUUCCGCCUGGGGAGUACGGUCGCAAGACUGAA
rnacentral:rRNA from 1 species